UAAAAUAAAUUUAUUAAUCUCUAAGGUGCCACAAAUAUUCCUGUUCUUUUUGCAGAUACAGACUAACACGGCUGCUACUCUGAACAUUGAGACCAAUGUUAAUCCAGAGUGACUGUAUGGAAAGACGAGUGACUCAAGAAGGACAGUGGGGCAAAUGGGAUCAGCAAUUCUCCCUGUGAGGAGGGGCGCUCAUUAGCUGCUCUCCCCGGAGAGCUAAAGGAGGGAAGCUGCUUAGAUGCUCUGUCCCUCUCUGCUCAGGAUAUUGGGGUUCAGCUUCUUGGGUCAGACACUGCAGCCUCCAUUGUGAUCUGGGAGACCAGGCUUGGCAGCUGCUGCUACCCCAGUGGGGUUCUGUGCUGGCAAGUGACCUUAGUUCAAGCUUCUUUUCUGUCCAGCCCAGGGGAUGACUUUCUCCAGCUCGUACUAGCCCCUUGUGGGAGACCUGGGCCCUGUUAAUACCAAUUCUACCACAGACUCCAGCAUGGCAGAAUCUAGGGUGUCUGUCUACAGGGAAAGGGCCUGGGAGAAUCAUCUGGUGAAAUUAACUAAAGUCUGUUCUGAAACCCCCACAACUGUCCUUCUCACCCAGACAGGUGGUAGAAUGACAUCCUUUUUUUGCUCCAGCUCAUCCCAUCCUCCCAUGGGAGAGGGAAGAGAAAUGAGUGCAGGGAAGCCUGUUAAGGGACCGGUGACCUUCGAGGAGGUGUCUGUGUAUUUCACCAGGGAAGAGUGGGCUCUGCUGUACCCCACUCAGAGAGCCCUCUACAGGGAUGUCAUGCAGGAGAACUAUGAGAAUGUGACCUCAUUGGGUAAGGAUUCCCGUCCCCUUGGUUCUUGGAAUAGGAAAUGAAGAGAGAAGGUUCAUGCCAACCCCACAAUGCCACCUCUACUCUGCCCUGUUUCAGCAUGUCAUAAACAAAUAGCUAAGGGUUAAUGUCUCUUUCACCUGGAAAGAAGUAAUCUGAACCACCUGACCAGAGGACCAAUCAGAAAACCGGAUUUUUUCAACUCUGGGUGGAGGGAAGUUUGUGUCUGAGUUCUUUGUUUUUUGUCUGCCUGUAUGCUCUCUCGGAGGAGGAGUGAUUUCUAUUUUCUGCUUUCUAAUCUUCCAUUUCCAAGUUGUGAGUGCAAAAAGGGUUUGUUGUUUUUGUAUUUACAUGUCUAUAGUGGCUGGAGUGCUUUGAUUUGUAUUCUUUUUGAAUAAGGCUGUUUAUUCAAUAUUCUUUUAAGCAAUUGACCCUGUAUUUGUCACCUUAAUACAGAGAGACCAUUUGUAUGUAUUUUUCUUUCUUUUUUAUAUAAAGCUUUCUUUUAAGA